GUGUCAGCAGCCGCGGUAAAACGUAGGAGGCAAGCGUUAUCCGGAUUUACUGGGCGUAAAGCGUGUGCAGGCGGUUCGGCAAGUUGGAUGUGAAAGCUCCUGGCUUAACUAGGAGAGGUCGUUCAAUACUACCGAACUUGAAGGCAUCAGAGGAAGAUGGAAUUCCCGGUGUAGUGGUGAAAUGCGUAGAUAUCGGGAGGAACACCAGUGGCGAAGGCGGUCUUCUGGGAUGUUCUUGACGCUCAUACACGAAAGCUAGGGUAGCGAACGGGAUUAGAGACCCCGGUAGUCCUAGCAGUAAACGAUGUAGACUUGGUGUCGGAGGUGUCAAAACCUUCGGUAUCGUAGCUAACGCGAUAAGUCUACCGCCUGGGGACUACGGCCGCAAGGUUAAA
rnacentral:rRNA from 1 species